AUGUUCAGUGAGUGUCGUGGUUAUCCCUGCAUAAGCUUUUGCUUCUGUUGGUGCAGUGGUGGUGCUACACUAAAUAUGUUGUUUCUUGUUCGAGUUUCCAAGCUCUGCUUCUGUAGGUGUGGUGGUGGUGGUACUCCAUCAGUUAUCCUAUUUUCUUCAGUGGUUUGUGCUUCCCUUAUCAGGCUUCUGGUUCAUUUUCUUCUUUGUUCUUCACCAUGGAAGACGUGA